rnacentral:ribozyme from 1 species
CGUGAGGGGGCGGGCCGCAAGGCCCGUUUAAACGACAGGCUGGGGUCCCAAGUCCCU